CGGGGAGCACCGGUCUAAGUUCCUUGGAACGGGGCGUCAUAGAGGGUGAGAAUCCCGUAUGCGACCGGUGACCAAGCCUAUGUGAAGCUCCUUCGACGAGUCGAGUUGUUUGGGAAUGCAGCUCAAAAUGGGUGGUAAAUUUCAUCUAAAGCUAAAUACCGGCCAGAGACCGAUAGCGCACAAGUAGAGUGAUCGAAAGAUGAAAAGCACUUGGAAAGAGAGUCAAAAAGUACGUGAAAUUGUUGAAAGGGAAGCGCUUGCAACCAGACCUGCCCGCGGGCGAUCAGCCGUCCUUUUGGGCGGUGUACUCGCCCGUGACCAGGCCAGCAUCGGUUCGGGCGGCCGGAUAAAGGCCUUGGGAACGUAGCUCCUCUCGGGGAGUGUUAUAGCCCUUGGUGCAAUGCGGCUCGCCGGGACCGAGGACCGCGCUUCGGCUAGGAUGCUGGCGUAAUGGUUGUAAGCGGCCCGUCUUGAAACACGGACCAAGGAGUCUAACAUCUAUGCGAGUGUUUGGGUGUCAAACCCAUGCGCGUAAUGAAAGUGAAUGGAGGUGGGAACCCUGAAGGGCGCACCAUCGACCGAUCCAGAUGUCCUCGGAUGGAUUUGAGUACGAGCAUAGCUGUUGGGACCCGAAAGAUGGUGAACUACGCCUGAAUAGGGUGAAGCCAGAGGAAACUCUGGUGGAGGCUCGCAGCGGUUCUGACGUGCAAAUCGAUCGUCAAAUUUGGGUAUAGGGGCGAAAGACUAAUCGAACCAUU
rnacentral:rRNA from 1 species